UAAGUCAGAAUCCAUGCCAGAACGCGGUGAUACCACCCCGCACGUAUAGAUGGACAAGAAUAGCUUCGGCUUAGCGUCUUAGCAGGCGAUUCUUCCACGGCGCUCGAAGCGCGUCGUGGUAUUUCGCGUAUUGUAAUUUCAACACGAGCGGGGUCAAAUCCUUUGCAGACGACUUAGCUGUGCGAAACGGUCCUGUAAGCAGUAGAGUAGCCUUGUUGUUACGAUCUGCUGAGGGUAAGCCGUCCUUCGCCUCGAUUUCCCCAAUGGGUUCUCCGGAUUUCUGGAGACUUGUAGGGGUUGUGGGAUUUUUGAUGUGUCGUCUCCGGACGGGCGGUGCAGGGUAGUCGAGCUAGACUUGGUGGAAUUCCGUCGAUAGGAGUUCCGUCGAGUCUGGUCGGCUGUGUGUUGGACGGUGUAGGGUAGGCUGCUUGGACAUGGUCGGUUCGAGGAUCGAUUCGAGGGGCCGGCCUGUCGAUGAUGUGUGAUGUAUGCGGUCUAGGGUAGGCUGGUUUGUCUUGGUUCAAUUUGAUGUCGGCUCCCGUGCAGGCCAGAGUGAGGGGGUCCAGGGUAGGUACAGGGUAGGCAGCUUAGGUUUGGUCGAUCUGGAGGUCGAUUCUCCGGCUGGCGGAUCUGACACUGUCGAAACGAGAUGCGAGCGGUGUAGGGUAGGCUAGUUUCGUCCUCGCCAGGUUGCGAUUUGGACGAGAUGUGUGGUUUAGGGUAGGCUCUAGGGUAAGUAGAAUUCGAGUUUCGUCGCCGACAGUUUUCUGUGGGUGUAUGGUAGGUACAGGGUAGGCAAAUCUCUCUCCGGCCAGUACUUGUCUGGUGGUCGUGAGUCGAUUUUUUUGUUUUGCCAUACUAUUGAAUUUUGCGGAAAUUCAAAAGUGGCUCGGGAGUCCCCGCCUGGCGUGCGUCCGACUCGAACAUCGUCGGUGUACAUAUGAGAAGGAGUAAUCCGGCCCGG
rnacentral:rRNA from 1 species